UGAGAUUCUUUUAAUUUUUUCUACUUUAUUGAAGUUCCACAGGUGAGACCCUUUUCAUCGGAGGCAUGCCGCGCUUCCGAUUUCCCUCUCUUUUCUCUUUUCUUUGUGUGAUAACGGAGCAGCAGAUUGUCUCUCCUUCCAUGUUCCCUCAUUCUAAAUUUACAUAGGUGGGGAGUAAGGGAAAGGAAGUUGUGACUUCCCCGGCUUUGACGGGAGGUCCCUCCUCUAGUGCGGGGGUUGUGAGCUGCAAUCGUGGUUUCAAGUGGUGAGUGAGAGAAGUAACAACUUGAAGUUUUUUCGAUUCAGCGUUUGAGGAAGGGGCUUUGUCGAUUCCUCAGUUGAUCAUUGAUGUUGGAUUAGCUAAGUGCGAGCGGCGGUGGUGGCCCAAUAUAUAGGGCAGAUUCCUCCCUGUGGGUUUCAAAGGUGAGCUUUGUCUGUCGACUCUUGAUCCGAGGUUUUUUCUGAUUGAUUUUCCUUUGGAGAGACUGUGUGAAUGGGUUCUUGCAAGGGCCUGACAUGUUCAUCAUUCUCCACUUGUGAUGCGUCGUUGGAGUGUUGGCAUUCAACCUCUUGAUUUAGAUGUGAAGUAAGUCCCAACGUGGGUUACCUAGAGGGUGUGCCUCUGUAUUUGAUUAUUGAUGAUGGGAUAGGGUGGCUAGUAAGUCGUAUAGGUAAGCCACUGAACAAGUUUAUUCGUGAAGGGAUUGAUGUGAAGAUCUGUUUGCUACUGGAGAAAGGGACUUGUAAUCCUGAUUCUUAGAAAAUUAAUUUGAAUGAGGAGCGUAUCAUUAUCCCUAUUAAAAUGGCUCAACAGCGGCAUUAUCCUCAGGGCAAGCAUGCUCCAGCUGUGACUAGAGAAUGGAGAGGUAAAUCCCAGCAAAAUAUUUGUUUUGACCCAGCUAGCUCUGAAGGCAAUGCAACUGAAUCUCAGUGAGAGAGGAAGUUGCACCUUCAUCUAAUAGGAUUCCAACAGCUAGAGGGGGAGGAGAGGACUCUGCUAAGACUCCUAAGAGAGUGGAGGCGUAGUCUUCCCCUUAUCAAGUUGAAGGUCUUAAAGCUUUUAUGGAGGUGGUGAGGCUUCCUUGAGCACUAAAACUGCGAGCAUUUUGAAUAAUGUGGUUAUUGAGGAGAUCAAAGAAGAUUUGGAGGACAAUGAGGAGAUUGUGUUGGAGGCACCCCUGCAGCCAAUUAAACCUGGAACGGCCCCUCUUGGUGAUUUCUUUAGAGCUGCAAAANNNNNNNNGUGUGAGACUGAUCGAGGGUGAGGGGAGGGGGGGGGGGGGGUCGUUGCAAGCGAAGGGGAAAAAGUAAAACAUGAAGAUCACAGUCUGAAACUAAAGGGGUUUUAAUUCUCCUUCAAAGCAUAGUUAUAUUUUGUCUUUUCUAAAUAAACGUAAUAUAGACAUAGUCGGAAUACUUGAAACUAGAGUUACUUUCAGUAAGGCAUAGCGAAUCCUUCAGGAUACGUUUGGUGCUUGGAUCUCCUUUUCAAAUUAUGACUGCAGCCCCUUGGGCCAGAUUUGAGUUUUGUGGAGGCGGGGUUUUCGUCUUUACCUAUUAGUGUUGUGGAUUUUGAUGAGCAUCAUGUCUUACUUAUGGUUCAUAAUUCUUCCCCUUGAUAUGUGUGUGUUUUCUAUGGUGCUAACAAG
rnacentral:lncRNA from 1 species